rnacentral:misc_RNA from 1 species
UCCGGUUUGUCACCGGCAGUCUCCCUGGAGUGCUCUUGCGUAGCAACUAGGGACAAGGGUUGCGCUCGUUGCGGGACUUAACCCAACAUCUCACGACACGAGCUGACGACAGCCAUGCAGCACCUGUGUAUCGGUUCCCUUUCGGGCACUCCCACCUCUCAGCAGGAUUCCGACCAUGUCAAGGGUAGGUAAGGUUUUUCGCGUUGCAUCGAAUUAAUCCACAUCAUCCACCGCUUGUGCGGGUCCCCGUCAAUUCCUUUGAGUUUUAAUCUUGCGACCGUACUCCCCAGGCGGUCAACUUCACGCGUUAGCUACGUUACCAAGCCAAUGAAGGCCCGACAACCAGUUGACAUCGUUUAGGGCGUGGACUAC